rnacentral:rRNA from 1 species
CCUACGGGUGGCAGCAGUGAGGAAUAUUGGUCAAUGGGCGCGAGCCUGAACCAGCCAAGUAGCGUGAAGGAUGACUGCCCUACGGGUUGUAAACCUCUUUUGUCAAGGAACAAAGUGAGGCACGCGUGCCUUUUUGUAGGUACUCUAUGAAUAAGGAUCGGCUAACUCCGUGCCAGCAGCCGCGGUAAUACGGAGGAUCCGAGCGUUAUCCGGAUUUAUUGGGUUUAAAGGGAGCGUAGGUGGGUUGUUAAGGCAGGUGUGAAAGUUUGCGGCUCAACCGCAACAUUGCAGUUGAUACUGGGAGUCUUGAGUACAGUUGAGGUAUGCGGAAUGCGUGGUGUAGCGGUGAAAUGCAUAGAUAUCACGCAGAACUCCGAUUGCGAAGGCAGCUUAC